CUUAGUUCUUCUAAGACUGCUUGCAAACCAGAAAGUGUGAACAGUGUGAUGACGAAUGCUCUUAAGACCAGGAGUUCAAGCUUAACUCCCAACCCCUUGAGUGUGGGCUAGACUUAGUGACCUGCUUCUAAGGAAUAGAGUAUGGAAAGAGGAAAAUAGCAACAUUACAGGAGAGAAACCUGAAAGCAACUUAACCAAGUGAUCACAGAAUCACUGGUAAUAACUCUUGUUGAUAUCAUGUGCCCCCAAUACAGUAUGAUGAAAAGACCCAUCAUCUCGGUGAUAUUUAUCCUCAAAAUCUAUAAUCUUACAACAAUUAUGAGAAAAUAUAGACAAACCCAAUUUGAAAGGAAGCAAGUCUACAAGAUACUUAACCAGUACUUUACAAAAGUGACAAGGUCACAAAAGACAGCACAAGACUGAGAAACUCACAGAUUGGAGGAAGCCAAAGAGACAUCAUGGCUGAGAUCAUGGUGGUGGAACCCUGGUUUGGAUCCUGGAACAGAAAAAAAGAACACUAAGUGGAAA
rnacentral:lncRNA from 1 species